rnacentral:rRNA from 1 species
GACCACCCUCCAACCCUAAAUACUACCCAGUGACCGAUAGCGUAUAGUACUGUGAAGGAAAGGUGAAAAGCACCCCGGGAGGGGAGUGAAAAAGAACCUGAAACCCUGUGCCUACAAGCACCUAGAGCGCGUCAAAGCGUGAUAGGGUACUUUUUGUAGAACGGUCCGGCGAGCGAUUGUAUGCAGCAAGGUUAAGGACUUAAGGUCUGGAGCCGAAGCGAAAGCGAGUUUGAAAAGGGCGUUAAGUUGCAUAUAAUGGGCCCGAAACCGGGUGACCUACCCAUGGUCAGGUUGAAGUGGAAGUAAAAUUCCAUGGAGGACCGAACCGACCUCCGUUGAAAAGGCGGCGGAUGAACUGUGGGUAGCGGAGAAAUUCCAAUCGAACCCGGAGAUAGCUGGUUCUCCCCGAAAUAGUUUUAGGACUAGCCUCAAGUUAGAUACCUGGAGGUAAAGCACUGAAUAGCCUAGCGGCCGAGAGGUUAGCGAAGCUUAUCAAACUCAGAAUGCCAGAGUAUUGAUGCUUGGGAGUCAGACAGUGUCAGAUAAAUGUCAUUGUCAAAAGGGAAACAGCCCAGAUCUACAGCUAAGGUCCCAAAGUCAGGUUAAGUGGAAAACGAUGUGAAGAUACGUAGACAACCAGGAUGUUGGCUCAGAAGCAGCCACUCAUUCAAAGAGUGCGUAAUAGCUCACUGGUCGAGCGUCUUUGCGCGGAGAAUUUAACGGGGCUAAACCUGACACCGAAGCUUAGGCAAUACAGCAAUGUAUUGGGUAGGGGAGCGUUGUAUACGCGGUGAAACAGUAGCGCAAGCGGCUGUGGAGUGUAUAGAAGUGAGAAUGCCGGAAUGAGUAGCGCGAAUGCAGUGAGAAUCUGCAUGGCCGAAAGCCUCAGGUUUCUGGAGGAAGGUUCGUCCGCUCCAGGUUAGUCGGGAGCUAAGGUGAGGCCUAACGGCGUAGCCGAUGCACAGACGGUAGAGAUUCCGUCACCACCAAAAGAGUUAAACACAGGGACACAUAUGAAGUCUCGGAGCCGGGUGUUGGUUCCGGUAGCGAUCGAGGGAAGUUAGUACCGAAGUCCGGGAUGGAAGAUGGCGAGAAAAGCUGUGUGUAUUUCUGCGGUGCCCGUACCGCAAACCGACACAGGUAGGUAGGAAGAAGAUUCUAAGGCCAACGGGAGAAGGGUUGUUAAGGAACUCGGCAAAUUGACCCCGUAACUUCGGGAGAAGGGGUGCUGCAGCAAUGCAGCCGCAGAGAAUCGGCCCAAGCAACUGUUUACCAAAAACACAGGUUUGUGCUAAAUCGAAAGAUGACGUAUACGAGCUGACGCCUGCCCGGUGCUGGAAGGUUAAGAGGAGAUGUGCAAGCAUUGAAUCGAAGCCCCAGUGAACGGCGGCCGUAACUAUAACGGUCCUAAGGUAGCGAAAUUCCUUGUCAGGUAAGUUCUGACCCGCACGAAAGGCGUAAUGAUUUGGGCACUGUCUCAACAGCCCGCCCGGCGAAAUUGUAGUACCGGUGAAGAUGCCGGUUACCCGCGACAAGACGGAAAGACCCCAUGGAGCUUUACUGUAGCCUAAUAUUGGGUUUCGAUGUUGCAUGCACAGGAUAGAUGGGACACUGGGAAGCAGGUGCUUUGGCGCUUGUGGAGUGGCCGUUGGGAUACCAUCCUUGCGAUAUUGGAAUUCUAACCUGCGCCUUUGAAUCAAGGCGGGGGACAUUGUUAGGUGGGCAGUUUGACUGGGGCGGUCGCCUCCUAAAGAGUAACGGAGGCGUUCAAAGGUUCGCUCAGCUUGAACGGAAAUCAAGCAAAAGAGUGCAAACGCAGAAGCGAGCCUAACUGCGAGACUGACGGGUCGAGCAGUAACGAAAGUUGGAGUUAGUGAUCCGGUGGUAUGUGAGUGGAAAUGCCAUCGCUCAACGGAUAAAAGCUACCCUGGGGAUAACAGGCUGAUCUCCCCCAAGAGUCCACAUCGACGGGGAGGUUUGGCACCUCGAUGUCGGCUCAUCGCAUCCUGGGGCUGUAUUCGGUCCCAAGGGUUUGGCUGUUCGCCAAUUAAAGCGGUACGCGAGCUGGGUUCAGAACGUCGUGAGACAGUUCGGUCCCUAUCUGUCGUGGGCGCAGGAUAUUUGAUGGGAGCUGUUCCUAGUACGAGAGGACCGGAGCGGACGUACCUCUGGCGCACCAGUUGUUCUGCCAAGAGCAUAGCUGGGCAACUAUGUACGGAUCGGAUAAACGCUGAAAGCAUCUAAGCGUGAAGCCGACCCAAAGAUAAGAUAUCCCAUUGUUUCAAACAAGUAAGACCCCUUGAAGACUACAAGGUUGAUAGGCACGAUGUGUAAGUGGAGCGAUCCAUUCAGCAAGCGUGUACUAAUAGGUCGAGGGCUUGACCAC